CCUAAGUGCCACUGACUUGCUAAAACAAGGCAUCUACUAUACUACUGUAUUGUCACCAUGUCUCGAAACACUGAUGUCUACCCAAAGUCUCCUCCCCAUCUUUUCCUUGGCUGCUGGAAUGCAGCCCUGUACUUUUGAGCCAUAAAGACUCUUAUGCAGUGUGUGUGAGGAACCUCACUGUUAAAACUGGAAUGACUUAAGACUCAGUGGAAGUUUUUGUUUUAAGUGGAAUGUGCCAAAUUAUAUUUUGCAAUGUUCAGAAAUGCAAAAUAAAAUAUAACCAUGUAUUAAUCAGUUUGCAGGCGAAAAGUGGUAAUAAGCAAAUGUUUUUAAAUACAUGCAAUGAG